AAGACCCAGGCUGCAGAGGGUUUUUGGCUGAAUUGUUGAGAAAAAUCCUGCAUGAAUUGAUGACAAGGUUUCUUUCAGGCUAGUAUUAUCAUUAUAUGAGUUCAGUCUGAUUUCUAUCUUUGCCACUAGUAUAAGAAUUUAUUAAUAAGGGUUAUCAGUAGGAGGCAGGAUAGCAGAAGAGAUGGGGAGUUUUUUAUCUGUAACUUGCUAUUUCAAAUCCAGUUCUGCUCAGCAGUGACUGGUAGUUAUUAGUGUCUGAUAUUUCUUAGUAGGCCCUGCAUGAAACAAAUUAGUAGAUCUUUCAUUCAAUUCACUCUCAGAAAAAAACAUAAACCAUAAUUGACAUUAAUUAGAUGCCUCAAGUGCUGUCUUGCAGAGAGGGGAAAAAAAUGAUAGUGACCACGCUCUCAUAUUUCCCCUGAAUCAUCAACAGCGUUCACAUAGAGGGUCUUUGUGGAUCAGGUUGGGUGUAUAACGGCAUCCUAAGCGGUAGAUUGGAUAAGCUUAUCCUGCCCUGAUGUAAAUUUAAAUGAGAUUUUGAUACCCUGUGCUCCAGGGAGGCUAGCACCGGUUUUGUUUGGCUAGAGAGCUGGCAAGAUAUCACAGCACAACCAUCCACUACUGGUGCCAGCUCCUUGGGAGACGGGACCGUUACUCCAAGAGUAGGUAUGUGAUGGUAAGUGUCUGUUCCUUCUGCAGGACCCCAGCUGGCUCAGAGUCUCAGCCAGAGCGAGGAACCACUGAAUACCACAGAUGACAACAGACAGUUUUCAAAAGAGAGCAUGAGUAUAGACUCAGAAGCUGGUAGGAAUGGCUUUUUGUUGUUGUUCCUGAAGUGACUAUUGGAGAAAGUGUGGGAGAACUCUUCAGUUUAUAACCAGAGAAGGUGGAAGUUUGAAAUUAAUUACCAGCAAAUGAAGAUCUCUCCCUCUCCUCUUCCUUUCUCUUCCUCUCCUUAUGGACACAUUCUUUGUUCUGCUGUACUAUGGUGGCCUGUUUGUUUCUUUGGCACCUUUUUGCUGCAAUUUUAGGACCCCCUGGAAAAUCUCCCAUUUACACACCUUUUCACCUGGAUAUGGUCCCCGAAGGAGGCCUCCUGCACACUGUUUGCUUAGGCAUCUGUGCACUAUAAUAUAUGUCUAAUUGAAAUUGCAUUAAUGGUAUGAUUCCAUUACAGGCAAGCAAGAUGCUUACUUCAAGAACACUCCCAGUGGGCCCUGAAUCAGCUGCAAUAGAUAAUUUAUAAAGUGCUGUGGAUCUUCUCAGAGCUCCAGUGUUAAGUACAGGAGACACAGGGCUAUUCAUUAUUAACAAGAUAUUAUGCUUUUUGCUCAGCAGAAAGCGUGGGUCUGGGAUGAGCUAAGGUCUAUCAAAGGUGAGAUUUGAGACUGCCAGUUUGACUGAACUAUUCCUCAGACAUUACCUCUAAGUCUAUGCCAGCUUUUGAACUCUCUUUGAAAGAUAACUUUCACAUCUCUGUUCUGACCUGAUAUUCCAAGAGUUCUCUUUGGAUUUGCUUGCUUUGCAUUUUAAGCUUUGUGAAAAGAUUGUGAGUGGAAAGAACUACUAGCUGCUUUUUAGUUAGGCCAGUGAUAAAGGAGCCAGUUAGGCUCCCCUGAACCCAGCCUUCUGUCAUCACAAACUUGAGUUUCCCUCCCUAUUCCCACAUUUUUGCAUAUACUUGUAGCCUGAAUCUUCAACAAGUUUUUGGUAGCCUAUACCAGGGAUAGCAGUUUUCCGACAGGAAGAAAGUUGUGGUCUCCAGCAGUGACUUUCUAGUGUGAUGAGCAGUGAGAAGGUGUAAGGGAACUGUUAUGUCACAGCCUGAACUGAUGAUUGAGCACCUGGCAAAGGGGAACGGCUGGGCCAGGGAGCACAGGUGCAAGCAAUUUACCUGUUUCCCACAUGACCCAGGGUCCACCCUCCCCCUCCCUGAGCUCAUUUAAGGGUUAGCCUCUGAAAGAAGAAUGUUUUCUGGGUGAGGACUACUUCCUGAGAAGGACUGUGAUGUAGCCAGAGCCUCUCCUACUGGUUGGGUAAGGAGAAGUAGCUAAGACCAGUUGAAGAUGGUAGCCCAGAAUCCAAACAUAGGAUCAAACAUAAGAUAAGCUUCUCAGUUCUUACCUGGAGAUAGUUAUCUUAAUUGAACAAGAUGCACUAUUUUGGCUGGGAGCUGGGUAGAAAAUGCACAGAGCUGGGAGGCUCAUCAGGAGCAGCAGCCCCUUUCCACCCUGAUAACCACCAUGAAGGAGAGGUAACCCUGACCUCUGGAUUCAUGUCAGUGCAUCAUGCACAGUUCCUGGAAAUUGCUAGCCAACAACAGUAAGGUAGCACAGAAGCAUUCCUGCCCUUCAACCAGAACUGCACCCUGUGAGCUUGCCUGGUGUUUCAGGAAGCAGAGGCAACUGUAUGUGAGGCCAGAGAGUUUGCUCAGACAUUUCUAUAGGAUCAGAACUGAUGUGACUAGGAAUUGUGUGCUCAACUGCAGUAAGAGAUGUAAUGAGAGCAAGCCGAGCAGUGCUCCCAUGCCUGCCUCUUCAUGUAUCCUGAGCUUCCACGUAGCAUCUGUUUAUUUGACACAAUCUAGAAAAUGUAAACAGUUAGUUUAAAAUUAGAAAACCUCGAGGGGACUGAAGAAAUAGAAAUGCUGUAGAUGGUUGGGCUUACAAUAUAUGCUCUUUUACUGAAGGAGGCACAAAGAUGAAUGUGGUGGGUUGUUUUUCACUAAGCGUGUGAAUAAUGUGAUGAAGUGAGAUGAGCGUGAUGUGCUGCUUGCCAGCAGUUCGCAGAGACUGCUUACUCUGGUAUGCCACAAAACCAGCUAUUUUCAGCUGAGGGGAGAGUUGUGCACUGGCCAUGUGGUCUGUGAAUACUUCAGUACUGUGCUGGCUUGUCCCCAGCUAACAGACAGGAUCUGUAUCAUGAUCAUUUCUUGACUGAUGCUUCAUCUCUUUGGGGGAAGGGGCAGUUGUUCUCGUCAGUAAAGUGUAGGAAAGAGGAUCACAGUAUGCAGCUUAAGACUUCUAGAGGACAUGGCAUUAGAGGGAAUAAACUAAUUGAAACUUCCUGUCACUCUGCAUCUCUGUAUCUGAUCUACUACAUUGGUUCCGAAGACCUUGCCACCUUUAACUGCAAAUUGAUAAGAGGAGCAGCCCAAGUGUAAUUCCAAAUCUGAACGCGCAUGGAAGAGUGACUCUGGAAAGAGAAAGCAACCUGCCAGGCUGGGUCUGUGCAGGUAACAAGGGAAGCAAACGUGGCCCCUUGGAACUCCCUUCGGAUCUCCUCUUGCCCAACCUCACAAAUGCAAUGGCAUGUUAGUGGCAGGGAAGCAGUAAAUAAUUGUAUUCCACUCUGGGCUCCAGGCUGCAGCAAUCAGGCCCUCGGGAAUUCCGACUUCUCCAGCUCAGCUGAAAGAAUUACUACAGCAGACUUGAGGGGGUUCCGCUUCAUAUCCCAGCUCCAUCACUUCCCUAAUUACUUCCAUGUGUAUUUGUGCAAGGCUGCAUGUUGCUGGGGGUCUGCAGGUGGCACAGUGACCUUUGGGCUGUAGGUGGGUUUCCACGCUUCGCCAUAUGUUGCACGAAUGAGCCCAGCACUCAGAAGGCAAUUGUAAGCAUGCAAGGCCAAGCAAUCUCUCUCUGUACAGUGACUGAUGGAUUCUGUUUCUCUGCCCUCGCUUUUCCCUUUAUGCUUUCUUCAGCUGUGACAGAAGAAGGAAUUUCUGGCCUUAGAUUAUAAUGUUUAAUUAAAAAGAAGAGCCUUCAUGUGAAGAUAGCUUGUUUCCUUAGCUUUGAUGUUGGUGCCUGUGGGAAAUAGAUGAGCUGGAAGAGCAUGCUGGGUAACAAAAUGUAAAUGAGCAACUUCACGCAUUCUCCCGAGUUGUUCAAAUCUCAGAAUUGGUAGAACCAGAUCUGUGCAUUUUCCGCGUGAAUUCUAUUGCACUUGGUGCUGAUUGUAGUUUCCUGCAGCUCCCUCAGAAGGCCUUCCCAAAGGGGUUUUGGAGUCUAUUCUUCCCUGCAGGGAGGCUGUGCAGGAAGAAGAAAAGGCAGCAGUGGGUGCACAACCUGCUCAUCAGUGAGCCCAGGAAGCACUGAGCACUGCGGUGAGCCUGGGGCUCAGCAACUGCCUAUUGCUUUUGACUAAUGGCUCUUUGAGUGUGAUUUGGUCAUGCCAUGGAAUAUUUCCCCCUCAUUUCUGCCUUUUAUCAUCUUAAUCUUUUGACAGAAAAAAAACCUGACUCCUGCCUCUGGUGGGGUAAGCCAUGUUCCCCCCUCAGGGCUAUGUGCAUCCUGCUUCCUGGCUUCACUGGCUCUGAUUCUCCCCACAAUGACUGCGUGUCCUGGCACUUGCUUGCCUGCUUUCUGCUGCUGAGUUGCCACCGAGAGGCUGCAGAAGUCCCUGCCCGGUGGCUCAGUGGGCCUGGCCACAGAAGGCUGCUCAGGUACCCUGCUGCCUGAAUGUCAUGUGGAGGAAGCCUGAGGGGAUAAGCUGUGCUAGGGACAGCUGAUUUUACAUGGCCAGCAGCUUCAGGACGACUCCCAGACGUGGGUCUGUACUGUCUCUGAUGGUAUGUGUAGGUGCAGCACGUGUGGCUGUGAAGAUCUGCCAACAAGAUGCCUCCCAUCUCAUUUUAGCUGUGUUCUUCCUUUGGGCAAGUCAGGUUAGGGAAUUCCUCUUUGAUGUGGGAUUUCUUCUUAGAAGCAUGCACCCGAUAGGUGAUAUACCUGAGCAGUGUGUCCCAUAAAUCACAGCACUGACAACUUUAGCAGGGAAAACGCUUCCUGCACCUUCAUGUCCAGGGUGGCUGAAGUGGUUCAGAGCCUUCCAGGCAGUGUGAUGUGGUCUCUGCAGAGUGGCUCACAGAAGUGCUUCAGCUGUGUAGUUUGUGAUGGUCCUGCGCAUCACUGUGGGGGGGGAACACUAUGAGUUGAUCUUAACCACAUGGUUUAGUGGGCAUGGUGAUGGAUCAACAGCUGGACUAGAAGAUCUCAGUGGUCUUUUCCAACCUUAAUGAUUCUAUGAUUCUAAGCUCAUGCAAGUUUUCUUCCCCAGGAUUCUAGCUGAGGCACUCUCCUACUUUCCCUAAGAGCUGAACAGUGGGAAAGUCAGGAAAGUGGCCCAAAGAGCAUCACUGAGCACUGUAACUGUGUGACAGAGUCCUUGGCCAGAAGCAUUCUGUUCUGCAGGGUCAGGUUCCCUGCUCACCUUGCAGAACAUCUGGGAUCCUGGCUGUUCCCUGAUUGUAUUUGUGGGUAGGCUGCAUCAGAGAGGACAUGCGCAGAGGAGAGUGUCUGAGUGGAUUAGGGCUGUUUCAAUCUAUUUGUUUUCAAAUAUGCUCUGUUUGGUUUGGGCCAUGUGGGGUUUGUUUGAUAAAGGAAGAACCAUUCUAAUUGAAUUCACUGGGUCAACGGCAGUUCACCCGGGGGGGAAGGGCAAGGGCUCUGCCAGGGACCUGCUGUUGGGCAGGAAGCUGCAAGAGCUUGGCCUUUCAUCCUGGCAGAACCCAGGGGUCAAGUCUCCUAGCAAGACUCACACCGCAGAGUGAUGCCCACUGCCUGAGAAACUCCUGGCUCUGACAAGGCUUUCACCUGAUGUGAGAGGGUAACGUGAGCUCAGGUCGAGCUGCUGGGCCUGGUUAUUGGUGGGGAGCGAGGGGCCCAAGGGAGCUGAAGAAAUCUACUUAAUUGUUUUCAAGCUUCUCCUUUCUCUGUGCAAAUCUUAUCCAAAGGGGUCCGCUGAGCAGCAGCAGCUGCCCUGGAGGCUUCCCUGGCCCAACAUCUCUGCACUGCUGUGCUGGCUGUGGUGUUUCUAAGCCAGAGAAAGGGAAACACAGGCAAACAGGGAAGGCAGGAAGCAAAUGAGUAUCUGUAUCGCAGAGAGGAGAUGGGCCCACUGUGACUUAAAGCAAGAGGCAAUGCAAAUUACUGUAUAAAAAAAAAAAAAUCAUUGAGAAGAGGAUCUUUCAUUUAUCUGCUGGAAAUUGCCACAGGCUGUGUUGAAGGGCAAAAUCUAUAGCUCUGUGUCUGUGUCCUAGUGGGGAAUAUUCCAUCUGCCCCAGUAACCUCUCUUAAUAAUCUCCACUGGCUCCAGGGGAGGCUGGCAGUGCGCACUGAGCACAGCUCUGUCUGAUGUGAUUGCCCUACAAAUGGGCAGUGAGCACAGGAGCAGCGGGAGUCCCUAAUUACUUCCACAGAACAUAAAUCCAUGAUGGCUUUGACAGCUCCUGGAGUAGAGAGCAGCGUCCCACUGCCUGAUGCACCUCAUGUCAGAGAACAGCUGGCUGAAAUCCCACCUCCAUCAGCAGUACCACCACUGCUAUGGGAGGAAGGGGAGAAGCAGGAACACGCCAACAAUCUGACAGUUAAUGCUGAAAUUGCUAGGAACUAGCCUUACAGAUCCUGGAACUUUAAUGCUAUCUGCAUAUCAGUGUGUUCAGAAAGCUGUACCUUUCCUCCUUGGCCCAUGAUUCGUGUUCUGUAUGUAAUGUUUCUGCUAAGGACAUGGUCUGACAUGUUCAGUGAGAGUGCCUUGUUAUUGAGAAGUCAUGCUAGAAUAUGAAGUUGCUGGUCACCCAUUCACUGGGGACUCAGCUUCAUUAAAGUGGUGGAUUCAAUUAAUGCUCAGAACAGGACAAAUCCUGUAAAAUAAGUCACGAGUCUGCACUCCUUUUCCUCUUCCAUAAUUACCUUUUAUAGUGAUCCUGCUAGAGGAAGCAAGCUUUAAUGAACGUGCCUGAUUGAUGAGGAAACCCAUUGUGAAUGGAAAAACAACAGUUCCUCCUGCCUACUCUGGGAGCCACUUGGCCUUCCUGUUGUACAUGGCCAUAUUCCAGUGUAAAUCCACAGGUAGGGAUAAAUUGCUUUGGUGUAGGUUUUUCUUAGUUUCAAGUGAUAUGGUAUGACAAAGCAUUUGAUCUCCUGAUGCUGUUGGCAAGGUGUUGUUGAGGCACAGUGACAUUUGCUUUCUGGAUACAGACUCUGCUCACAUCAUCCAAGUAUGUAACUGGUUGGUUGUUUUCUUCCUGCAGAAAAAGAGUAUUGGUAAUUUGACUGACAGAAUUUAACUAAACCUUGGAAUUCCUGCAGCCUCUUGAAUAUGUAUCUAAAUCUCACAGUUUGGUCAUAUCCAUAAUGUAGUGGAAUUACUUUAGUCCUUAUGGAAAUGCAGUUUCCUUUGGGUGAAUCACGGUAGAUUGGCAAAACAGUGUUAAAUGACACUCUGGCAGGAAGUAAAGAGGAUAAUAUUUCACUGAAGGAAAAUUGCAGGAAGUCAGUAGAAUGUCUGUUAUCUUAGCUGGAGCUGGCAUUUGGCCUGGUUACUAAAGAUAACACCUUUUUUUUUUUUUUUCUCCAAGUCUUGUCACUUGCUGCUUUAUGACCAAGUGUCUUGAUUUACCUCUCAGAACACCUCCAGCCACAGGGCAUCACCAGAGCCCGGCAGUGACUCAGGGCUUCUCAACAGCAUAGACGAGGUUGAAUCUUUCAACCUCUAAGAUGAGAGACUGGGGCAAGACUGCCUUUUCCACAGGCAAGGAAAGAGUAAGAGGAGGGUAUCCAACUGUAAUUGCAGGCCGAAGGAGAGAACACUGGGGGAGUUCAGCUGCAGCUGCCAGGCACCUGAGAGCUCAGGUAAGUGAGGGCUCUACCUGUUUGGAAUAACCUCAGGUUCUGGCCUGCAGCCAUAGGCACAGCCUCUCCUGAGCACUGGCAGGGAUGGAGGAAGCAGCAUGCUGUCCCUGUGCAGGCUGCUGUCAUAGCAGCUGUUUUCCUUGUUGCUGUGAUUGCCAUCACACUAAUGUUGGGAAUUCUCAUCUGGAGUCAAAGAAGAAAAUGACAUCUGAGUCACAAGCCAUUGUUGAGAUCUAGAUUUAUUUUCCAAGGCCCUGGAGCUACAACCUGCUUGGUUUCUGGGACUGAAAGGGACUGCCUCCCCCAAAAGCUGUGUGCACAGUGUGGUUAGUGAUCACUUGCAUGUUUCUGAUUUUUUUUUAAAAUCAGGAAUAGGAGUUCUAGAAAUUGAUGAUUCUGGAGGUAUAUUUUGUGAGUUGCACCAUGCCCAUCCUGCUGAGCACUAAGAAAACACCGCUCUUGCUUCAUAAAGGGCUGAUGGGGUUACUGGGGAAAGUUACUUGUCAAGGGACAUGUAUUUGCUCUGCAGCCUGUAAAGCAAAAAGGUUAUCUCUCCAGCUGAUACUCUCAUAAAUCAAUCUCUGACGGAGUCCCUGCUGACUCUGACAGGCUGUGGCAAGAGCUUACAACUUCUCUUGGUGGAGGGGGGAAGUUUCCUCAUCUCUACCACGUACAUAUCCUCUGACCUUGAUAGCAGCUCAUCUCAGGCCGCUGAUUUCAAAGAGCUCAGAACUGGGUGUUUUGCUGCUUUGGCGUUUUUGCUCAUACAACUCUAUUGAACUCUUUCACCGAUUUCCUUGAACUUUUUUCUCUCUGUUGCCAAAAUGUCAUGUGUGCCUCUGGGAUGCAUUCCAACUUGCAGUUGCAGAAGUGGGUCACUCUCCACACGGACACAAAUGCAGUCUGUUGCAGAUGCCCAGGCUGUCAGCAUAGCACUCAGGGGACUUGAGAAGUGCGAUCCCAGCCUGUUGCUUUGAAAGAUUCACGGUAUUGCCGAUCUGCAUUAACUCUCUUGUUUGUUCUCUCUGUCAGUCUACAAAAAGGGAUCUUUAAUGAUCGCCCAACUAAAGAUGAAUUAUUAAUUUCAGAUGCUGAAGGAGAUUUGUGUCAGAGCCCAGCUUUGGCUGGUUGACUUACACAGAGCUUAAAAGCAUCUAGCUCAUCUCCCUGCCUUGUUCUGUAUUCUGUGCCAUUUCUCUCACUGCCUCAGGGCAGAAUGUUUCAGAAAGUUGGAGUGGGAAUAUUUUUAUUCAUCCUGUUACAUGAAGUUAAUCUCGUGUAGCAAAGCAGCUGUGUAAUGUUUUGUAUUAAAUCUCGUGUCUUCCCUUGGGUGUGAUUAAAAUUCAGGUGAAGGGUUUUUUUAAUUUUAUUUUUAUUUCCCCACUCCUGAAGUUCUCGAGAGGCCAUUAGGCUUCAUUCUUAAUAG